UGGGGAAUUUUGGACAAUGGGGGCAACCCUGAUCCAGCCAUCCCGCGUGUGCGAUGAAGGCCUUCGGGUUGUAAAGCACUUUUGGCAGGGAAGAAACAGCCUGGGAUAAUAGCCCGGGCGACUGACGGUACCUGCAGAAUAAGCACCGGCUAACUACGUGCCAGCAGCCGCGGUAAUACGUAGGGUGCAAGCGUUAAUCGGAAUUACUGGGCGUAAAGCGUGCGCAGGCGGUUCGGAAAGAAAGGUGUGAAAUCCCAGGGCUUAACCUUGGAACUGCACUUUUAACUACCGAGCUAGAGUACGUCAGAGGGGGGUAGAAUUCCACGUGUAGCAGUGAAAUGCGUAGAGAUGUGGAGGAAUACCGAUGGCGAAGGCAG
rnacentral:rRNA from 1 species